GUCUUUUUGAGUAUAAUAAUAAGUCUAGCCUGCCCGAUGUAAAUAUGAAUGGCCGCGGUAUUUUGACCGUGCGAAGGUAGCAUAAUAAAUAGUCCAUUAAUUGUGGUCUGGAAUGAAAGGUUUGACAGGGAAUUUCUUUUUUGACAUUAUUUUUGAAAUUAAAUUGCUAGUUAAAAUGCUAGUAUAAUUUAGGAGGACGAGAAGACCCUAUAGAGCUUUACACGAUAUGUUCUUGUGUUGGGGAUAAAAAGAAUGUAGUGUUUUGUUGGGGCGACAAUAAAUUAAAACAUUUAUUAUUUUUGCUUGUUGGAAGGUGUAAUGAUCCAUUAAUAAUGAUUUAAGACAAAGUUACCUUAGGGAUAACAGCGUAAUCUUAUCUUAGAGUUCAUAUCGAUGAUGAGGAUUGCGACCUCGAUGUUGGAUUAAAAUUCCUUUAUGGCGCAGUAGUUUUAAAAGGUAGUCUGUUCGACUAUUAAAAUUUUACAUGAUCU
rnacentral:rRNA from 1 species